GCCAGGCGCGGUGUCCCGUGCCUGUAGUCCCAGCUACUUGGGAGGCUGAGGCAGGAAACGGCUUGAGCCCAGGAGUUCUGGGCUGUAGUGUGCUAUACCGAUCGCGUGUCCGCACUAAAUUCGGCACCAAUAUGGUGACCUCCCAGGAACAGGGGACCACGAGGUUGCCUAAGGGGAGGGGUGAACUGGCCAAGGUCGGAAAUAGAGCAGGUCGAAACUCCAUUGCGGAUCAGUAGCAGGAUCGUGCCUAUGAAUAGCCACUGCAUUCCAGCCUGGGUAACAGACCCUGUCUCUCUCUCUC
ensembl:misc_RNA Metazoa_SRP Metazoan signal recognition particle RNA